rnacentral:rRNA from 1 species
UACGUAGGGUGCGAGCGUUAAUCGGAAUUACUGGGCGUAAAGCGUGCGCAGGCGGUUCGCUAAGACCGAUGUGAAAUCCCCGGGCUUAACCUGGGAACUGCAUUGGUGACUGGCGAGCUAGAGUGUGGCAGAGGGGGGUAGAAUUCCACGUGUAGCAGUGAAAUGCGUAGAUAUCGGGAGGAACAUCAGUGGCGAAGGCGGCUGCCUGGCCCCAAUACUGGCACUCAGGUGCGACAGCGUGGGGAGCAAACAGG